AUAGGAGUAUUUAGGAUCCAGCUGUACAAAUCCCAAUUGAAUAUGGAUUUGUAGCCCCAAUUGAAUAUGGAUUAGUAGCAUUAUAAAAGGACUCGCAACAAAACAAAUAUUUGUUUCUCACUGUCUCUUUCUAAGUGUGGCUGUUUAUGUGUUUUUGUGUUACAAAUGUUCUAAGUGUUUGGGUUUAUGUGUUUUUGUAUGUGUUACUGUGUUUUUUGAUCCUUUUUUUUAUGUGAAUGUGUCUGUCUAUGUGCUUUGAUGCUUUUCUAUGUGCGUGUUUAUUUGUUGCUGUGUUUUCUCUGUCGAUGUUUUUGUGUUUUUUUUUUAUAUUUUAUUUUGGUGUUUCCGCUUCAAGCUGCUAAUGAGGAUCUCUGUCCACAACGUCAGGAUGGUAGCACAAACUGACGGGCUUAAUUACAAAGUAUUUCAGAUGGGAGUAACAAUCUCAGGGAAUUCUCAACUUGAAAGUGAAAACUGCUUUGUCAUAUUUUACCAGAUGGCAGGACUCAUCAAUUGGAUUCGGCGCAGCUGUUCGUGGUAACAAGAGAGCAGGUUCUGCAGUCACAUCGUCUUUAAUUGAAUGUGCCGAAAUUGCUGCUCUAAUAGCAGACUUUAUUGGGCGUCUCCCUAUUUUAGUUCGUUUAUGGGCUCGGCCAACUUGUGCAGGUGAAGCUACAUCUUAUAGAAAGAAAGAGCAUUGAGAUUGAUUGCAGAAAAGCCAUGCUGAGAGUAUUCAAACUGAAGCAUGUACGUGGUGGAUUGUACAUGUCAAAGCCGCAAGGCUUCACAUAUAAGAGCGGACAGUACAUGUUUGUCAACUGCGCUGCAGUCUCUUUCCUUCCAAUGGUAAUUAGUUAAGCCAUUUAUUAGCUUGACAAUAUAAUAAAAGGAAUUUAAUGUACUGCAGGCACCCAUCUUCAAUCACAUCAGCGCCUACAGACGACGACCUGAGUGACUGGACGCGCAAACUCAAAAUAUUUCCUCUGAGGUUUGUAAGCCUCCAUCGACUGGCAAGAGUGGAGUACUGAGAGCUGAGGGAGACAACUCAGCUGGGUUUCCAAAUAUAAUGACACACGAUCCAUAUGGAGCUCCAGCACAAGACUGCAAGAAGUAUUGAUGUGGUGCUGCUGAUGGGACUUGGGAUUGGGGUGACACCUAUGAUCAGAAUCUUGAAGGAUAUCAUUGAUAACAUGGAGAGGAUAGAAGGGAAAGAAUUAGGGUAGCAGAAAGAUUAGAGAAAAUUAAGGUUAUUGGCUUUAACAGGAGUAUUUACAGUAUGUCGUAUAGGUAGUUGCAAAAUAAAAUCUGCAGGCAUAUGCUGAAAAAUAUGCUCUAGAUAAGGAAUAAUUCUUCAAGGACUAUGCUGAAGCCCAUGCUAAGCUUAGCAAUAUUGGGGUCAGGCUUGUCAUCAUGAGUGCUUUGUUCAAGCCUGAAGUUGCAACUACUAACAUGAGAGGGAGAGAGAAGAAGACAGAGAUAGAGAGAGGAAGGAGCCUAAUAGAGAAGAAUGUGAGAGGGAGAGAGAAGAAGACAGAGAUAGAGAGAGGAAGGAGCCUAAUAGAGAAGAAUGUGAGAGGGAGAGAGGGAAAGAAAGAACCGUGAAAAAGUAGAACGUGAGAGGGAGAGACAUAGAGAGAGGGAGAAAAAAUGAACCAGAGAAGGAAUAAGAAAAGGAGAGACUCAUCAUGGAGAAGGAGAAGCGUCGAGGUAUAACAAGAACAUAGAAGAGUGGCCUAGAAGAGGUAGUGCUAAUAGAAGUCUCAGGUUUGAAAUUGAGCUCAAAUAUGGAGGUAAUGCAGGUAAAGUCAUGUAUAUAGUUAUUUAUUUAUUUUCAUAACAUUGGUAAAUUUGCCUUUUUGUUUGAAAAUAAAAGGCCAAGUGUGAAUAACGAUUUGUUUGAGGUCUUGUUAAUGCGCUGGAGCUUCUUAAGCCUAUGAAGGAUUAGUACCCUGGGAUAACAUAUGCAAAUCUAUCUCAGUACUGGUAUUGAGGUGCUGGUCCCCCUAAUCAUUUACUAGAAGUUUUUUACAGCAUGGGAUUCAAUGACAAGGAAAUAGCAACUUGCUCAAUAGCCUGCUGAUCAUUUACGAAAAUAUGUUUCAAACCAGAAGUAGUCAAGGCAGCAAUUGUAACAAGUCGUGGAUUAUGUCCCGGUCUCAGUGAUGUCAGCAGACAGAUUGUUAGCCCACUUGAAAUAUAUGGUGUCGGAAAGAUAAUGGGGAUUCCUUUUGGUUCUCGAAGAUUUUCUGAUAAAGGCUUGAGUGAAGCGCCGGUAUAUUCCGAUCAAUUAUUAUCUCAAUGUAGCUUGUAGAUGAGAAGACAGUUACCUCCAGGAUGGACCAAAGAAAGGUCAUAAGAUCAGAAGAGAUUCGACGACAUGAUUCAUCAAUUUAAUCGAGGUUCAGCAGUCACAUCUUUACCUGAUUGUGUAAGAGUGAAGAUCCUCCCUUUUUUAUUUUGGUGUUUUGGCUUAAAGCUGCUAAUGAGGAUCUAUGUCGACAACUUUAUGAAUACCGCAAACACUCAGGAUGGUAGCACUGUUAUGUAAAAACCGACGGGCUUAAGACGAGUUUGCGAAGUAUUUCAGAUGGGAGAAACAAUGUCAGAUGGCAGGAUUCAUCAAUUGGAUUCGGUGCAGCUGUUUGUGCUAACACGAGAGCAGGUUUUGCAGUCACAUCAUCUGUAAUUGAAUAUGUAAGAGUGAAGAUCCUCCUUUUCAGUUAAAUGGUCGAAAGUGCGGGUCUAUUAGCAGAGUUUAUUGGGCGUCUCCCUAUUUUAGUUCGUUUAUGUGCUCUUACAGAGGAUCAACUUGUGCAGUUGAAGCUACAUCUUAUAGAAAAAGCAUUGAGAUUGAUUGCAGAAAAGCCAUACUGAGAGUAUUCUAACUGAAGCAUGUAUGUGGUGGAUUGUACAUGUCAAAGCCGCAAGUCUUCAGAUAUAAGAGCCGACAGUACAUGCUUGUCAACUACGCUGUCGUCUCUUCCUUCCAAUGGUAAUUAGUUAAGCCAUUUAUCAGUUAGACAAUAAAAUAAAAGGAAUUUAAUGUAUUGCAGGCACCCACCUUCAGUCACAUCAGCACCAGCAGACGACUACCUCAGUGACUGGACGCGCAAACCCAAAAUGUUUCCUCUAAGGUUUGUAAGCCUCGACCCGCUGGCAAGAGUGGAGUGCUGAGGGAGACAACUCAACUGGGUUUCCAAACAUAAUGACAGACGGUCCAUAUGGAGCUCCAGCACAAGACUGCAAGAAGUAUGAUGUGGUGCUGUUGAUGGGACUUGGGAUUGGGGUGACACCUAUGAUCAGAAUCGUGAAGGAUAUCACUAAUAACAUGGAGAGGAUAGAAGGGAACGAAUUAUGGUAGCAGAAAGAUUAGAUAAAAUUAAGGUUAUUGGCUUUAAAGGGAGUAUUUAUAGUAUGUUGUAUAGGUAGUUGCAAUAUAAAAUCUGCAGGCAUAUGCUGGAAAAUAAGCUCCAGAUAAGGAAUAAUUCUUCAAGGACUAUGGUGAAGCCCAUGCUAAGCUUAGCAAUGUUGGGGUCAGGCUUGUCAUCAUGAGUGCUUUGUUCAAGCCUGAAGUUGCAAACACUAAGAUGAGAGGGAGAAAGAAAAAGACAGAGAUAGAGAGAGGAAGGAGCCUAAUGGAGAAUGUGAGAGGGAGAGAGAGGGAAAGAAAGGACCGUCAAAAAGAAGAAUGUGAGAGGGAGAGACAUAGGCAGAGGUAUAAAAGGGGAACGAAAGAAGGAAAAAGAGCGGGAAUGAGAAAAGGAGAAAUGCAUCAGACUUAGAGAGAAGAAGAAGCGUCGAGGUAUAACAAGAACAUAGAAGAGUGGCCAAGAAGGUAGUGCUAAUAGAAGUCUCAGGGUUGAAAGUGAGCUCAAACAUGGAGAAAAGGUCAAGUGUGAAUAGCAAUUUGUUUGAGCUCUUGUUAAUGCGUUGGAGCUUCUUAAGCCUAUGGAGGAGCAGUGCUCUGGGAUAACAUUUGCAGAUCUGUCUUGGUUGGCCAGUGCUACUGGUGCUGGUCCCCCUAAUCAUUUACGAGAAGUUUUUUACAGCAUGGGAUUCAAUGACAAGGAAAUAGUAACUUGCUCAAUAACCUGCUAAUCAUUUAUGAAAAUAUAUUUCAAACCAGAAGUAGUAAAGGCAGCAAUUGUAACUUGUGGUGGAUUAUGUUCUGGUCUCAAUGAUGUCAUCAGACAGAUCUUCAUCACACUUGAAAUAUAUAUGGUGUCAGAAAGAUAAUAGGGAUUCCUUUUGGUUGUCGAAGAUUUUCUGAUAAAGGCUUGAGUAGUGCCGUUUGUUAAGCAAUGUAGCUUGCAAAUGAGAAGACGCAACUAGAAGGGUUACCUCCAGGAUGGGCCAAAGAAAGGUCAUAAGAACAGAAGAGAUUCGACAACAUGAUUCAUCAAUUGGAUUCGGUGCAGCUGUUCGCGCUAACAUGAGAGCAGGUUUUGCAGUAACAUCAUCUUUAAUUGCAUAUGCCGAAAGUGCUGGUCUAAUAGCAGAGUUUAUUGGGCGGCUCCCUAUUUUAGUUCGUUUAUGAGCACUUACAGAGGAUCAAAUUGUGCAGGUGAAGCUACAUCUUAUAGAAAAAGCAUUGAGAUUGAUUGCAGAAAAGCCAUACUGAGAGUAUUCUAACUGAAGCCUGUAUGUGGUGGAUUGUACAUGUCAAAGCCACAAGUCUUCAGAUAUAAGAGCGGACAGUACAUAGUUGUCAACUGCGCUGCCGUCUCUUCCUUCCAAUGGUAAUUAGUGAAGCCGUAUAUUAGUUAGACAAUAAAAUAAAAGGAAUUUAAUGUACUGCAGGCACCCAUUUUCAAUCACAUCAGCACCAGCAGACGACUACCUUAGUGACUGGACGCGGAAACUCAAAAUGUUUCCUCUAAGGUUUGUAAGCCUCCACCGGCUGGCAAGAGUGGAGUGCUGAGAGCUAAGGGAGACAACUCAGCUGGACGGUGCAUAUGGACCUCCAGCACAAGACUGCAAGAAGUAUGAUGUGGUGCUGCUGAUGGGACUUGGGAUUGGGGUGACACCUAUGAUCAGAAUCGUGAAGGAUAUCACUAAUAACAUGGAGAUGAUAGAAGGGAAAGAAUUAGGGUAGCAGAAAGAUUAGUGAAAAUUAAGUUUAUUGGCUUUAAAGGGAGUAUUUAUAGUAUGUUGUAUAGAUAUUUGCAAAAUAAAAUUUACAGGCAUAUGCUGGAAAAUAUGCUCUAGAUAAGGAAUAAUUCUUCAAGGAGUAUGCUGAAGCCCAUGCUAACCUUAACAAUGUUGGGGUCAGGCUUGUCAUUAUGAGUGCUUUGUUCAAGCCUGAAGUUGCAACCACUAACAUGAGAGGCAGAGAGAAGAAGACAGAGAUAGAGAGAGGCCUAAUAGAGAAGAAUCUGAGAGAAAGAGAGGGGGAAAAGAGGACCGUGAAAAAGAAGAACGUGAGAGGGAGAGACAUAGAGAGGGAGAAAAGGGGAACGAGAGAAGGAAAAAGAGCGGGAAUGAGAAAAGGAGAACUCAUCAGGGAGAAGGAGAAAUGUCGAGGUAUAACAAGAACAUAGAAGAGUGGCUAAGAAGAGGUAGUGCUAAUAGAAGUCUCAGGUUUGAAAUUGAGCUCAAACAUGGAGGUAAUGCAGGUAAAGUUAUUUAUUUAUUUUCAUGCCAUUUGUAAAUUUGCCUUUUUGUUUGAAAAGAAAAGGCCAAGUGUGAAUAGCAAUUUGUUUGAGGUCUUGUUAAUGCGUUGGAGCUUCUUAAGCCUUUGAAGGAGCAGUACUCUGGGAUAACAUAUGCAGAUUUGUCUCAGUUGGCCAGUGCUACUGGUAUUUAGGUGCUGGUACCGCUAAUCAUUUAUGAGAAAUUUUUAACAUAAUGGGAUGUAAUGACAAGGAAAUAGCAACUUGCUCAAUAACCUGCUGAUCAUUUAUGAAAAUAUAUUUCAAACCAAAAGAAGUCAAGGCAUCAAUUGUAACAAGUCGUGGAUUAUGUCCUGGUCUCAAUGAUGUCAUCAGACAGAUUGUAAGCACACUUGAAAUAUAUGGUCUCUGAAAGAUAAUGGGGAUUCCUUUUGGUUGUCGAAGAUUUUCUGAUAAAGGCUUGAGUGAAGUGCCGCAAUGUAGCUUGCAGAUGAGAAGACGCAACCAGAAGGGUUACCUCCAGGAUGGACCAAAGAAAGGUCAUAAGAUCAGAAGAUAUUCGCUGUUCGGGCUAACAUGAGAGCAAUCAUCUUUACUUAUACGUGUUGAAAGUACUGAUCUAAUGGCAGAGUUUAUUGGGCGUUUCCCUAUUUUAGUUAGUUCAUCAACUCUUGCAAAGCAUCAAAUUGUGCAGGUGAAGCUACAUCUUACAGAAAAAGCACCGAGAUUGAUUGCAGAAAAGCCAUACAGAGAGUAUUCUAACUGAAGCCAUGUAUGUGUCGCAGGGCUUCAUAAGAACGGACACUACAUGUUUGUCACAUGCGCUGCAGCCUAUUCCUUCCAAUGGUAAUUAGUUAAGCCAUUUAUUAAUUAGACAAUAAAUUAAAAGGAAUUUAAUGUACUGUAGGCACCCAUCUUCAAUCACAUCAGCACCACCAGACGACUACCUUAGUGUCCACAUUCGAACAGUAGGUGACUGGAUGCGCAAACUCAAGACGGUUUUCUGAAAUUUGUAAGCCUCCACCGGCUGGCAAGAGUGGGUGCUGAGAGCUGAGGGAGACAACUCAGCUGGGUUUCCAAAGAUAAUAACAUACUGUCUAUAUGGAGCUCCAGCACAAGACUGCAAGAAGUAUGAUGGUAUGAAGGUCGCACUUGGCUAUACGAAGAUUAUCAUUUAAGCCAAAAGACAAUAUAGAGCUGGAAGAUGAUAAAUUAAGCUUGUCCCCUAUGUUUGCUGUAUCUUCUCGGCGCUCAACAUCACCUAUUGCUGCUAAUGGAAUGGAUGCUUUCUCCUUCACAGCUGGUGAUCUCUCACCUUUAAAUUCUUCACUGAACUUUGCUUGCCGCUAAGCAUCCUGUUAUUGGGAGCUAUGAAAAGCUUGCCUCAGGUCUUCUUUUUCUUUCUUUCUCUCUCUCUCCCACUUUGUUCACCUCCCUUCUUUUAUUUAUUUAUCUUUUACGUUUUUUGCUAUCCUUGUUAUAUUUAUGUAUCCUUGGUAUAUUUAUGUAUACUACAACUUAUAAGGUGUUUUGGGAUUUGCAAGAAAUUGCCAUUUUUUGAGAGGAUAGAGGUCAAUAUAUUAAACCAAUGCUCCCAAAGGUUUGUCCUUAUACUACUCUUGUUUGAAUUGCUGAGAGACGUAUCAGAAACAAUGAAACAGAAGAUACGAGCAGCGUAUGAAACGAUCGGUGGAACUCCAGAUAAGCCUUAGUCUGAUUAUUCUCUAGUAUUAUGAUUGGAAUUGUUGUUCUGACAAAUCUAAUAUAGUUUCUUGGAAAUUAAGGUUUAGUUUAUGAUGAUUAUUUAAGGAUAGUAUCGUUUUUUAUGUGUAUGGUAAUGCUGUGAGUUCAUUAUAUCUUUAGCUGCUUGUCAAUGACCGAAAUUGCAUCUGUUCCAAUGUUGUUGACUAUGUGAAUCACGGUAACUCUAGUCGUAAUGAAUUGCCACAUGAACUAAUGACAUAUUAGUUCAAAGAAAAAAAACUAAUGGAACAGUCAGUGUGUUUGUGUUUCUAUGAUUUGGUGUUUUUCUAUGUGGGCGUGUUUGUGUUUCUAUGCUUUGGUGCUUUUCUUUGUGGGUGUGUUUCUCUCUUUCUAUUUGUAAGUGUGUUUGUGUUUCUUUGCUUUGAUAUUUUUGUAUGUGGGCGUGAUUGUGUUUAUGUGCUUUAGUGUUUUUUUUUGUGGGUGUGUUUUUCUAUGUAAGUGUGUUUUCGUUUCCAUGUUUUGGUGUUUUUGUACGUGGGUGUGGGUGUGUUUGUGUUUAUAUGCUUUGGUAUUUUUCUACGUGGGUGUGCUUGUGUUUAUGUGCUUUGGUAUUUUUCUACGUGGAUGUGGUUGCGUUUAUGUGCUUUGGUGUUUUUAUAUGUGGGUGUAUUUGUGUUUAUGUGCUUUUCUAUGUGGGUGUUUUAAUAUUUCUGUAUGUAAGUGUAUUUGUGUUUCUAUGCUUUGGUGGUUCUCUGUGUGGGUGCAUUUGUGUUUCUGUGCUUAGGUGUUUUUGGAUGUGAUUGUGUUUCUGUUUUUUGUUUCUCUGUAUGGUUUUGUUUGUAACUUUUUAAUUUUUUUGUCUUUACAUAUGCUAAUUUAGUUAUAUUUUUAUUGUGAAUAUUUCCUAUCCGUUUGGCGAGCUGAGUUUCUAGUGUUGCUUUUCUUUUGGUUUAGAUCCAAAUUUGUACCAUAUACCAUAAUCUCUAUUAGUUUAAUAGUGUUUUCCUUUUAAAGUUUGAACUGGAAAUAUUUAGAAUUAGAAGUGCAAUACAUGGAUCCAUUAGCUGGGAAUUUUAUUUGUGUUUUUCUCUGCAUUCUGGCUACCUUGCAGGAAAACAACUAAUGCUUCAUAUUGACGAGUUGGUGCCUCGCGUCUUGAGGACCCUGCUGCAUCCACAUUAAAUGCUGGGAUGAAGAAGACAUAAAUGCAUCCACAUGACAGACUUUGUAUUUCUGUUUUUUUGUGAUCCUUGUAAUAGGCUUUGUAUUUGUUUUAUUUUAGAUAUAAAAUUGUUUUAUGCAAAUAAAAACCUAUGACAUGUGUUGAUUUAAGUA